UGGUUUCUAUUGUCUCCUUCUUCUUAAUCCCCAUUUUUUCUUUUUAUUUUCUUUUGAUCAAUUGGAUAGUUUGUGUCCAUCUUGUUCAUGAUGUGUGGAUUGGUGCUUGAUGAACUUUCAUAAUUUCAAAUCUACCUCCUAAUUGAUAAUUGAUCAUUUAAGGUACUUUGAAUUGAUGUAUAAGUUUGUCCUAAGUAUCAUGAAGUAUGAAUUGAAGUAAUGGACCAUCCGCCUAACCUAUGUGCUUGAUCUAUACCCUUUUCUUUUUUUAUGUGGCAUGGCUUUAGGAGAAUGAUUUACAUAUCAUUUCUCUAGAAUGUAUUAACACAAAUAUUAUUAUUGACCGACCU
rnacentral:lncRNA from 1 species